rnacentral:lncRNA from 10 species
CUUUAUUCUAUCACGGCAGAUUUUUUUUUCUGUUUUUACUAAUUGCCUUAGGUAUUCCCUCCUUCUUCACCCCGUUACCAGUCUCUUUUGCUUUCCCCUAAUCAGUGACUGUUUUGUUACACGCUUCUGCUGCUGGCUCCAUUCUGUUAAUAUUAAACUAACUCUUUCCAGAGACAACUUACUUUUUAUUGUAUUCUUUCUGGUUUUAGGUUUCCUCUUCAUAGAAUAAUAGCAUUGAGAAGAAUCCUAGAGAUACUUUAACCCAACUAACUCAUUUUACUAUGAGUAAACAGAUUCAAAAAGAUUUAAAUGCAAGUGAUUUUCUCAGGUCAUGUAAGCACAUAUAGCAAGAUAGUGGUAGGACUGAAUUUCAGCCAUGGGUCUCCUGACUCCUAGUUUUGUAUCCUUUCUUGCAAGAAGAGAUCCAUACACAGCAGCAUUUCAUAUCCUCAUAGUUCUUUUAUCCCUGCUUUCUCUACCUCUGAAACCAAAUAAAAAAGAAAUUUACAAAAAUUGCAUUAUUCGAGUUGGAAAAUUGGCAAGUUGAAACAAUAACUGCAUUGUACUUAACCUUUCCUUGUUUAUUGGAGGAUAAAUAUAUUGAAUUUUAAACAUUCUUGUAGUAAAAGUCAUAGAGAAACACUUACAUCUGUUCUUCUGGAAAAUAUUUUUGUUUAGUUGUUCCAAUCAGAAAAAUUCAUGCUCUGACCAUCACAUGGGCACUUCCUCCUCAACAGCAACAUUACAGGGUGAAGCCACUUCAUUAUAUAUCCUGGCUGGUUGGACAUGAAGGCAAAGGCAGCAUUCUUUCUUUCCUUAGGAAAAAGCAAGUAUUCAAUUAAUAAGUAUUUUCAGUAUAGCAAUCUCUGAAAAAUAGUAGACAAUAAGUAUUAUAUAAUGCAUUCUUUUACUUUAGCUGCCAGGAAGCCUAGAAUAAAAUUUAAUGCUUAAUUAUAGUUAUUUUAAUAACUUACAUUAUUUUAAUGGCCAUAUUAUAUUUGUGUAUUUCCUUGUAAGCCACCUUUUAGCCCAUUGUUGGAAGUUAUUUGUACACAAAAUUUUAAAAAAUCAUAAAUGAAAUUAAUAGAUUCCAGAAUUACAUAAAAGAAUUAGCUCUAAUCAAGAAUUUAUAUUUGACUGAAUGGUAAAGAAAUCAAUUAUUUAAAUGCCAUGGAUCUCCAGGCUUUCCUAACCCCCAAGGCUAGACUUUAAUGAAAACUUCAUUGGGUAGGUAAAUCAUAGUUAAUAGGUGGGACUGCAAAUGGUAUAUGCAGCCAUGUUAGCAGAAUGUUUCCUAAGCAUUAAAGCACCUGUUUAAGUCACCUAUAGCCAAAUAAUAGAAAUACAAUUUUAGAAUCAAGACUAAUAUAUUAAAGUAAUUCCUUGUUUGAUUUUUCUAUAAAUGAAUAGUAUGAGAAUGGAAGGAUAGAUGAGACAUUUAAAUAAGUAUUUUUAAGACACUUUCGUGUACUAGAACAUUCAAAGAAAACUAAGAGGGGAGAGUUAACUAUAAAAUAAUAAACUAAUGAUAUUGGGUUCAUAUGUACCUUACACAAUAUAUGUUAUAUGCUUUGAGCUGUGCACAACCUUUCUACCUUACUGAGCUUUAUUAGAAUUUCAGACUCUAUUCUGGUGUCCUCUCUUUUUAAUUUUUCAGAAUUAAUCUAGUCAGGGAAAGGUAUAGUCUCAUUAUUUCUUUCUUAGACAACCUAUGUAGGUUAGCUGACAGCCUCAAAGAACUCACUUGACAUUCAAUGUAAGUAUGUUUUAGAAGUGUCUUAAGGCUUCUCCUAGGAGACAGGUUCAAAAAUGGUGAGGCCAGGCGCGGUGGCUCACGCCUGUAAUUCCAGCACUUGGGAGGCCGAGGUGGAGGAUUGCUUGAGCCCAGGAGUUCGAGACCAGACUGGGCAACAUUGUAAGACCCUGUCUUUAUUAAAAAAAAAAAAAAAAAAAAAGAAAAAAAGGUAAGCAAAAUGCUUUCCAGC